CUCAUGCUUGGUAAGCACCUUGCUGCCUCAACAGAUAAUAAAUGCUAAUGCAUUUCCUAUAUCCUUAUAUUUACUGAAAAAAAAAAAAAAGGCAUGGGGGGGGAGAGAAAAAUUCUAAGUGGAUGUAGAAUAAAUAAAUACUAUAGGAUGAAAGAACUUGAGUGAAGUUGCCAUUUAGGGAAAUGUGUGCUUAGCACAGAAACAAGGUAGGUAACCGUUUAAAAAAAGACAGAGAAGUAGAAAAGUCCGUAGCAUGUUUUCUCUUUUCAGAAUUUCCCGAAACUACAGUGUAUUACUUCCGAUUUUCGUGAGGGUUUUGCUUUGCUGUCUGCAAUUACCCUUUGAGUACCAUCACUACAGAUGAAUCUGGCACCCCUGCUCUCUGAAAUAGCCCUGGUGCCUCAUGGAGAUGAAAUUCGCUGCCUUUCAGUUUCCAUUUGGUAACAGGCCCACGCACAUCAAGUCCCGCAGGCCGUUGGUUGCUCGGCCCGUGCACAAGAGUGGCGGAUGAGAGAGGGAAACUCCACAGAAGGAUUCGGAGGCAAGAGCAGCCUGGCCUCAGUGGGAAAGGGCAGAAUACUCCUCAGGGGGAAGUCUUGUCAUGAGCAGCCCUAUGGAGAAUCCGAGCAGUGAGGCCAGCCACCAGGCAAGUGGGCUUGGAUGCAGAUCCUUUGGACCCAGCCAAGCCUGACACCUAGACUGGGACAGACCCUGAACAAGAACACCCAGCUAAGCCACUCCGGAUUCCUGAUACACAGAAACUAUGAGAUAAUAAAAGUUUGCUGUUUGAGAUGGCUA